UAUUAAAUAGUUUAUAAAAACAUUAAAUUGCAAAUUUAAAAUUUUAAUUAAGUUAAUUUAAUUU
rnacentral:tRNA from 1 species